CCUACGGGUGGCAGCAGUGAGGAAUAUUGGUCAAUGGACGCAAGUCUGAACCAGCCAUGCCGCGUGCAGGAAGACGGCUCUAUGAGUUGUAAACUGCUUUUGUACGAGGGUAAACGCAGAUACGCGUAUCUGUCUGAAAGUAUCGUACGAAUAAGGAUCGGCUAACUCCGUGCCAGCAGCCGCGGUAAUACGGAGGAUUCAAGCGUUAUCCGGAUUUAUUGGGUUUAAAGGGUGCGUAGGCGGUAGGAUAAGUUAGGGGUUAAAUCCCGGGGCUCAACUUCGGACGUGCCUCUGAUACGGUUGGGCUUGAGAGUAGGAGCGGUAGGCGGAAUGUAUGGUGUAGCGGUGAAAUGCUUAGAGAUCAUACAGAACACCGAUUGCGAAGGCAGCUUACCGAGCUACUUCUGACGUUGAGGCACGAAAGCGUGGGGAGCAAACAGGAUUAGAUACCCGAGUAGUC
rnacentral:rRNA from 1 species